AAAAAGCGCAAAUUUUAACGGAUUUUUGGUCCACCUUUUGUUUGAAUGUUAAUUGUUUACUUUUCUGGUUGUUUCAAUUAAUUACAAUUAAUUAUCGACUUUCAAUUAAUCAAGUGUCUAUUUGAACACCUUAAGAGUCAACAGUAGCUUCCGGUGGCCAUUGUAUUCUAUUGGAACAGUUGAUUGAUUUGAAAAAUUGUUCUUUCCUCUUUUCUUGUCUUUGGUCAACAUUUUGUCGGUUUAACAUUUCGGUCUUUUUUUUUAAUGGUCAUCGUUUCUUUUUUUCUUUCAAUUUUUGGACUGGACUGGACUUUAUUCUGGCCUUUCCAGUUGUUGACCGUCUCUUCCAUUUGGACAAAAUGGACUUUCUCUCUUUUUGGUCUGUCUUUUCUUUCUGUCUCUUCGUGGUGGUGAUAAAUUUUAGCUUCGAAUAAAUAGAUUCGAAGACCAAAUGGAACAAAACUUUGAUUAAUGAGUUUAAUUGUCAUCAAUGCCUUUCCAUUGGGUAUUUGUAUUGAGGCUUAAUGCAAGAAGAUCCAGUGUUAAUCAUCGUAAAGUGUGUCAAGAGAAAUUAAUCAAAUCCAAAUACGGUCAAGUUCAAAUUUGUUCUCGUUUCAACUUAUCAAUUUCUCCACAUGGAUAAUUAUAUAAAUCUGAUGGAUUCUUAAUUAGUGGUUGUUAUUGUAUUAAUUACAACGAAUUGGAUAAUCAAUUUGGAUUGAAAAUGAUUGAAUCGUUAAGGAAAACAUGACAUUUUGGUGGAUAUUUACAAUUAAGAUUAAAAAAGAUAAUUGUUACAGAGAUAGAGAUGAGUCACUAAUCGUUUCAACAUUUGGAUCAAGUUGAUUGACAUUACAUGAGAUCAUCGAGAAAUAAUAUUAAUGGAGCAGAUUAACAAUUAAAACAAUGGUUGGGAUAAUCAAGCAGCAGUUGGGUAGAUGAAAAAAUUUAUUUCAAACUGAAGAUGAAGGUGAAAAUUGCUGAUUAAUUUACAAUAAUAAUACAGUCCAAUGUGAUUGUGAGAUUCGGUUUAAAUAGUUGAAAGUGAGUCGAUAAUUAAUGAAAAUAGAGAUGAUCCACUAUUAAUUUGGAUCUUUUUCUUUACAAUCAGCUGGAUGAAGAAAUUUAAAUAAGUGCCAUUCAAUUUUAAUCGAACAAUUUGACGAUUGGAUCGUCAAUUGUUUUUUUCUCCUCGAACUUGAAAAU